UUUAGGGUAGAUUAUCAUCACUGGAGGUUCUUUGGAGGAAGAAAAAAUGAAAUUGAAAUGUGAUCUGAACAUUAGUCUUCACAAUCAAGUUCCAUCUUUGUACCACUGGACAAGACCAUCAGUCCUCGAUACUUCGCAUGACAGAACAAGCUGUUCUUUUUCCACAACACUCUUGAAAAGGUCCUCCUCCGGGAUAUCAGCAAAUGUUACCGGUGGUGCUACACAAAACGGUACACAAAAGAAAUAUCGCUGAAAUCUGAAUCAUCAUCAUCAUCAUCAUCAUCAUCAUCAUCAGUUUUACAACUGUACACCCCAGAGUAUGAAGAUGUGGCCGACUUCAUGACCAGUGUCCUCUUAUUGCCCUCUGAAUCGAUUUUUAUUCCCGAUUUUGGCAAGAUUAUUCCAUCCUCAUAGCAGCAGGUCUGGCUUGCCAGGUCUGAGAUCUCACAAUGAAGUUUGAUCACGCUGCCUGCUUCAACAGACUUGUUCCUCUCAGCCUCUGGAACAGCUGAGAAUCAAACCGGUGCUAUAGGAAUUUCAAUUCAUUGAACAGUAACCAGAUAGUAAUCAGAUUUGCUAUGCUAUACUAUGUAACGUACAUGGAUUUACAGGCUAAAGGCUGUAAAAUCUGAUAUUUGGCUCCAGAUUGAACAGAUGGUUCAAGAGUUGUUUGGUUUGUGCCUACAGAGGUUGACAGUGAGAUCACUCAGUUACUUUAACAUUGCUAGUUAGUAGGCUCAUAUACAAUCAGUGAGACAGUAUCAUGGAACAUGAAUCAUUCUAAUUUCAAAUGACUGGUUUUAACUUUGUUCAAGUUCACUUGGCAGCAUGUAAAUGGCAAAACAUGGUUUAUUUUGUUUGCUUUCUGUUUAUCUGCAGGUUUGUCUGUUUGUUUAUAAAUUUUUGGUUAAUACAGAGCAUGUAGAUCAAUAAUGGCCUUUCAGAAAAGUAGGUCUGCAGCAUCUACAAUUCAUCCUUCAGAGGUCUCACCAGAGUCACACAGUGAAAAGCACAACAGUCUGCGCUGCAUACUGGAUUAAGUGGCAGAGUUUGACAUGGUCAGAAACUGGGAGUAAUGUGGGCACAACUACUUCCAUAACUGCUGGACUUGGCUGAAAAAGCUGUAAACACAACACUGACAUAGUAUUACCCCUUAAAGCUGUUGCAAACAUUUUGCCUAAGUACACAUCCAGCAGACAGAGCAAAUGUAGCAUUCAUUUAGAGUUGUAUUUGUGUCCUUUUUAUACAAAACUCGAGUCCAAUAUUCACCCUCUUUUUACUCCUGUUCUGGUCUGCACUAACUCCUGAAGUAAAUAUCUGGCACUUUAGAUGCUAAAUGCUUCGGUAUGUUCACCACCUAGACGCUAACUUUGACUGUCUGUUUUUCACUGUUGGCAGGUAGUGUACUGUCUACUUAUCUGAGCUUUUUGGCUCAAAACAGUUCCCUGCUACGGAAACCAUAAAACCAAGCUGAAAAAACACUAAAACAUCACGUCAGAUGAUAAUUAUCUGUGGUUGGUUCCAACAAGUGACACCUUUCACAAAUUUGAUCCAUUGUCAAUAUACAAAUAUUAAGAAGUUUUAAGCCUGAAAGGGCCUUUUUAAGUAUUUUCUUCCUAGGGCGAGAAUGACAUUGAGCUGCAUAUCACUGCUGGUACAUAAUAAUUAUUCAUUUUCAAUAAUCUUUGAUCCCUUAUGUAUUUAUCCAUGCUCAAAUUUAAACUUUCAAAACAUUAAAUUGUCUAUAAUGGUCUAUAUGUCCACCAGAAUCAUAAAAUGUACAUAAUUAAGUAUUAGUACACAUUAUCUUAGAAUAUUGUAACAUAAAAUUUUGGAAGCCUGAGUUGUUCUAGUAGCCAAGCAUUCAUUGAAAGACGUUAGUGAGUCUGACAAAGCUCAAAAUACUU